CGUAGGGGGCAAGCGUUAUCCGGAUUUACUGGGUGUAAAGGGAGCGUAGACGGAAUUGCAAGUCUGAUGUGAAAAUCCGGGGCCCAACCCCGGAACUGCAUUGGAAACUGUAUUUCUAGAGUGUCGGAGAGGCAAGUGGAAUUCCUGGUGUAGCGGUGAAAUGCGUAGAUAUCAGGAGGAACACCAGUGGCGAAGGCGGCUUGCUGGACGAUGACUGACGUUGAGGCUCGAAAGCGUGGGGAGCAAA
rnacentral:rRNA from 1 species